UACGUAGGUGGCAAGCGUUGUCCGGAUUUACUGGGCGUAAAGAGCGCGCAGGCGGUCGUUCAAGUCGCGUGUGAAAGCCCCCGGCUCAACUGGGGAGGGUCACGCGAUACUGAUCGACUGGAAGGCAGGAGAGGGUAGUGGAAUUCCCGGUGUAGUGGUGAAAUGCGUAGAUAUCGGGAGGAACACCAGUGGCGAAGGCGGGUUGCUGGGCUGACACUGACGCUGAUGCGCGAAAGCCAGGGGAGCGAACGGG
rnacentral:rRNA from 1 species